rnacentral:rRNA from 2 species
UUAAAUUGAAGAGUUUGAUCAUGGCUCAGAUUGAACGCUGGCGGCAGGCCUAACACAUGCAAGUCGAACGGUAACAGGAAGCAGCUUGCUGCUUUGCUGACGAGUGGCGGACGGGUGAGUAAUGUCUGGGAAACUGCCUGAUGGAGGGGGAUAACUACUGGAAACGGUGGCUAAUACCGCAUAACGUCGCAAGACCAAAGAGGGGGACCUUCGGGCCUCUUGCCAUCAGAUGUGCCCAGAUGGGAUUAGCUGGUUGGUGAGGUAACGGCUCACCAAGGCGACGAUCCCUAGCUGGUCUGAGAGGAUGACCAGCCACACUGGAACUGAGACACGGUCCAGACUCCUACGGGAGGCAGCAGUGGGGAAUAUUGCACAAUGGGCGCAAGCCUGAUGCAGCCAUGCCGCGUGUAUGAAGAAGGCCUUCGGGUUGUAAAGUACUUUCAGCGGGGAGGAAGGUGUUGUGGUUAAUAACCACAGCAAUUGACGUUACCCGCAGAAGAAGCACCGGCUAACUCCGUGCCAGCAGCCGCGGUAAUACGGAGGGUGCAAGCGUUAAUCGGAAUUACUGGGCGUAAAGCGCACGCAGGCGGUCUGUCAAGUCGGAUGUGAAAUCCCCGGGCUCAACCUGGGAACUGCAUUCGAAACUGGCAGGCUUGAGUCUUGUAGAGGGGGGUAGAAUUCCAGGUGUAGCGGUGAAAUGCGUAGAGAUCUGGAGGAAUACCGGUGGCGAAGGCGGCCCCCUGGACAAAGACUGACGCUCAGGUGCGAAAGCGUGGGGAGCAAACAGGAUUAGAUACCCUGGUAGUCCACGCCGUAAACGAUGUCUACUUGGAGGUUGUGCCCUUGAGGCGUGGCUUCCGGAGCUAACGCGUUAAGUAGACCGCCUGGGGAGUACGGCCGCAAGGUUAAAACUCAAAUGAAUUGACGGGGGCCCGCACAAGCGGUGGAGCAUGUGGUUUAAUUCGAUGCAACGCGAAGAACCUUACCUGGUCUUGACAUCCACAGAAGAAUCCAGAGAUGGAUUUGUGCCUUCGGGAACUGUGAGACAGGUGCUGCAUGGCUGUCGUCAGCUCGUGUUGUGAAAUGUUGGGUUAAGUCCCGCAACGAGCGCAACCCUUAUCCUUUGUUGCCAGCGAUUAGGUCGGGAACUCAAAGGAGACUGCCAGUGAUAAACUGGAGGAAGGUGGGGAUGACGUCAAGUCAUCAUGGCCCUUACGACCAGGGCUACACACGUGCUACAAUGGCGCAUACAAAGAGAAGCGACCUCGCGAGAGCAAGCGGACCUCAUAAAGUGCGUCGUAGUCCGGAUUGGAGUCUGCAACUCGACUCCAUGAAGUCGGAAUCGCUAGUAAUCGUGGAUCAGAAUGCCACGGUGAAUACGUUCCCGGGCCUUGUACACACCGCCCGUCACACCAUGGGAGUGGGUUGCAAAAGAAGUAGGUAGCUUAACCUUCGGGAGGGCGCUUACCACUUUGUGAUUCAUGACUGGGGUGAAGUCGUAACAAGGUAACCGUAGGGGAACCUGCGGUUGGAUCACCUCCUUACCUGAAAGAAGC